rnacentral:rRNA from 1 species
UACGGGGGAGCAAGCGUUGUUCGGAUUUACUGGCGUAAAGGGCGCGUAGGCGGCCACCGCAAGUCGACUGUGAAAUCUCCGGGCUUAACCCCGGAAAGGUCAGCCGAUACUGCGGGCUAGAGUGCAGAAGGGGCAACUGGAAUCUCGGUGUAGCGGUGAAAUGCGUAGAUAUCGAGAGGACACCUGCGGCGAAGGCGGGUGCUGGGCUGACACUGACGCUGAGGCGCGAAAGCGUGGGGAGCAAACAGG